UGUGCUGUUGUGGGUUGCGCGAAUCGAAGCAGCAGAAAUGCGGACAAAUUUUAUUUUCCUUUCCCAGCAAUUAGCAACAAUAAAGGUAAAUAUAUACAGGAUGGGAAAAAAAAGCGGAAGCUUUGGUUAAAAGCCUCGAAACGAGUGGAUUUAACGAAGCCAAAGUAAAGUAUUCCUAUGUUUGUUCGGAUCAUUUUAUUUUAGGUAAACCUGCAGAUUUGUCGGAUGUGGACCAUCCUGAUUAUGUUCCAUCACAAAAUUUAGGAUAUCAAAAUAAAUCCACUCAUAAUACUUGUAAUUUUGAAAGACACAGUUGUUUAAAAAAGAGAAAACUGAAUAAAUGCCUCUAGACUUUUGAA